AACGAAGCUUAGAAUUAGAUCACAAGUGCAGGAAAAUACCAAGAAAACUUCAUUGAGAGCUGUAGUUUCAACAUAGGUAUGCCAUAAACACUUCACUCCCACCUUAUCUCUGUAAUCUCAUUUUCCUCAUACUAACCUGCUGAAUACAAAAAAGAAACCAGUGAGAGUUUACUUGGUAAUGGGGUCAUCACAGUCUAGCAAUCAUGACAAAGAUGAAAACCUUACAGCAAUUCUCACACUUUUGUUCAUGGUGUUUACUCUGCUCUGGUACUACUGGAUUUGGAAGAAACCGAGCAGAAACCCUACACCUCCAUUGCCACCAGGACCUCGUGGCCUGCCGCUACUCGGAUACCUUCCAUUUCUUGGUGCAGAUCUUCACGUAGAAUUCACAGACAUGGCAAAGGUUUAUGGCCCAAUUUACAAACUCCAACUUGGCACCAAGUUGUGCAUUGUGGUCAGCUCACCUGAGCUAGUGAAACAAGUGGUUCGUGACUAUGACACAACAUUUGCAAACCGUGAUCCUACAAUUGCUGCUCUGAUUGCCUCAAAUGGAGGAACCGACAUCGCGUUUGGAUCCUACGGUCCAUAUUGGAGGAAGCUGCGCAAGAUGUUUGCGAGUCAGAUGCUAAGCAAAACCAAUCUUGAUGAUUGUUAUGCUCUGAGAAAAGAGGAGAUGCACAAGUCGAUCGGUCAGGUUUAUCAUGACAAAAUUGGAACCCCAACUGACUUGGCCCAGUUUGCAUUUUCCACAUCAAUCAACACAACCAUGCGUAUGCUAUGGGGUGCCACUCUACAAGGAGAGAAGGGGGGUGACUUUGGGGAAGAGUAUAGAAAAGUUGCGGCAGAAAUGAUAGACCUACUCGCAAAACCAAACAUCUCGGACUACUUUCCUGCGCUUGCAAGGUUUGACAUACAAGGAAUAGAGAGGCAAGCAAAGAAAGUUCAAUCCAAGAUUGACAAGAUUCUAACUUGUGCCAUAGAAGAAAAGAUGAAGAAGCUGGCCUCAGCUGAGAACAAUAACAGGAAGGACUUUCUGCAGUUCCUCUUGGAGAACACUAACACUCCUGAAGAUGGUUCACUAUCCCUUACGGUGCAACAACUGAAGGGCACGCUCACGGUAUGGUAUCUUAACUUUUGGCUAAUUGUUUGUUUGGAACUUGGAAGUUGUUUUUUUUUUAUCGUAUCAAGUUUCAUAAGUUACGGUUUAUAUCAACUGCAGGAUAUUGUGGUGGGUGGAACUGACACUACGGCAACAGUAGUGGAAUGGGUUCUGGCUGAGCUGAUGCAGCACCCAGAAGAAAUGAUAAAAGUUCAAGAAGAACUAACACAAAUUGUGGGGUUGAACAACUUGGUUGAAGAGUUUCAUUUGCCUGACUUACAUCACUUAGAUGCUGUGAUCAAGGAGACGUUUCGCUUGCACCCUGUACUCCCCCUUUUAGUGCCCCGGUGUCCAACCCAAUCUACCACCAUUGGUGGCUAUUACAUACCAAAAGGUUCCACUGUUUUUCUGAAUGCUUGGGCCAUACAGAGAGAUCCAAGUGUUUGGGAAGCUCCCUUGGAAUUUAGACCCCAGAGAUUCCUAAAUCCUAGCAAUAAGUUUGAUUACUUGGGUAAUAAGUUUCAGUUUCUUCCAUUUGGUUCAGGGAGAAGAAUUUGUCCUGGGAUUUCCUUAGCAGAGAGGAUGCUAAUCUAUGUAUUGGCUUCAUUCUUGCAUUCGUUCGAUUGGAAAUUGCCUAAUGACGAAAAGCUUGACCUCUCAGACAAAUUUGGACUUGUGACAAGGAAGAAGACUCCACUUACUGCUGUACCAACAGCCAGGUUAUCCAAUUUGGAGCUCUAUGCUUAAAAGCAUUCGCCUAAGUGCGAAUUUUAAACAUGCAGCAAGCACUUAUCUUAGCUAUAGGAGUUUCUGCUCCAACUGUUCCCUAAUUCUUAAUUCUACUGUGCUUCUAUAUAUAUGUUGUAACGAAAACAGUGCACCCGGUGCGCCGCUCACCCAUCCAUCUCCGCCGUCCAUUUUGAAAAAGUCAAAAAUCCGCGUCAAAUGGACGGCGGAGAUGGACGAGUGCGCUGAAUAUGCUCUCAUGUUGUAAGAAUAAAUGGAGAAAGUAGGAUAAUAAACAUAUUUUCUGGUUUCUCUAUGCUUGGCUAUAUAUGUUUCUGACUUUCUGCUCCAACCAACUGCAGUACAUAUUCUUAUGUGGUUAAGCAAUUGCAGAAUGGCUACAACUACAGGUAACAUGACUAAAACUAUGAGUGUUCGACCCAGUGAAAAGAAAACUGUUGAGACUGAAAAUAAUCGUUUUUCGACUUCUGAGGUACAAAGCCAUUUCUUUGCGUCUUCUUCAGUAAAUGGUGAGAUGUUACGGUAAAUUAAUGGACUGUUGAUGAGGUUACAGCUUGCCAAACAUCGAUCAUGAGGGUAGCUGCAGCCAUAUAUCUAUCAGAGAAAGUCAUGUCAUCCCUCGGAAGCUAAUUUCAAACUGGAAGAUCAUAGAUCGAUGAAAGCAGAGGAAAUCCAACGCCGUAUAUAACUACAGCGUAGACAAAUCUAGAAUUCUAGAUAGGCCAUAUAUCAUAUAUGGCAUGCCAAUUUGCAAGCUAGUGCAGUUGAUCAUGGAAGCGCAAUGGAUAACGACCAGUAUAUAACGUAGCCUUAACCAUUCUUAUACGCAGCCAAUCCAGCUACAGUGGUGUUUUCACUAGAUGGAAAUCCAUACCUUAUCUCAAUGAUCCCAAUGACCAUAAAGACUUCACUCUCACCUUAUCUCUAAUCUCAUUUUCUUCCCACCAGGAAAAAAGAAAAGCUUAUCUUUCAUUCUUUCAUUUACAACCAGACUAACCUGCUGAAUACAAAAAACAAAACAGUGGGAGUUUACUUAGUAAUGGGGUCAUCACAGUCUAGCAAUCAUGACAAAGAUGAAAACCUUACAGCAAUUCUCACACUUUUGUUCAUGGUGUUUACUCUGCUCUGGUACUUCUGGAUUUGGAAGAAACCGAGCAGAAACCCUUUGCCUCCAUUGCCACCAGGACCUCGUGGUCUGCCGCUACUCGGAUACCUUCCAUUUCUUGGUGCAGAUCUUCACCUAGAAUUUACUGACAUGGCAAGGGUUUAUGGUCCAAUUUACAAACUCAAACUUGGUACCAAGUUGUGCGUUGUGAUCAGCUCACCUGAACUUGUGAAACAAGUGGUUCGUGACCAUGACGCAACAAUUUCCGACCGUGAUCCUUCAAUUGCUGCUGUUAUCUGCUCAUUUGGAGCAUCCGACAUAGCAUUUGGAUCGUAUGGUUCAGAU
rnacentral:lncRNA from 1 species